CAGUAGCCGCGGUAAUACGGAGGGUGCAAGCGUUAAUCGGAAUUACUGGGCGUAAAGCGCACGCAGGCGGUCUGUCAAGUCAGAUGUGAAAUCCCCGGGCUUAACCUGGGAACUGCAUUUGAAACUGGCAGGCUAGAGUCUUGUAGAGGGGGGUAGAAUUCCAGGUGUAGCGGUGAAAUGCGUAGAGAUCUGGAGGAAUACCGGUGGCGAAGGCGGCCCCCUGGACAAAGACUGACGCUCAGGUGCGAGAGCGUGGGGAGCAAACAGGAUUAGAUACCCGGGUAGUCCCUGUCUCUUAUAC
rnacentral:rRNA from 1 species